rnacentral:rRNA from 1 species
AACGAACGCUGGCGGCAGGCCUAACACAUGCAAGUCGAGCGCGCCCUUCGGGGUGAGCGGCGGACGGGUGAGUAACGCGUGGGAACGUGCCCUUUUCUACGGAAUAGCCUCGGGAAACUGAGAGUAAUACCGUAUACGCCCUUUGGGGGAAAGAUUUAUCGGAAAAGGAUCGGCCCGCGUUGGAUUAGGUAGUUGGUGGGGUAAUGGCCUACCAAGCCGACGAUCCAUAGCUGGUUUGAGAGGAUGAUCAGCCACACUGGGACUGAGACACGGCCCAGACUCCUACGGGAGGCAGCAGUGGGGAAUCUUAGACAAGGGGGGCAACCCUGAUCUAGCCAUGCCGCGUGAGUGAUGAAGGCCUUAGGGUUGUAAAGCUCUUUCAGCUGGGAAGAUAAUGACGGUACCAGCAGAAGAAGCCCCGGCUAACUCCGUG